CCCGACUGCUAUCGGGGUGAGGCUAAGCCAUGGGAGUCGCGCGCCCCGCCGCCGCGGGGCGCGGCGCACGGCUGAGUAACACGUGGCUAACCUGCCCUCGGGACGGGGAAAACCCCGGGAAACUGGGGCUAAUCCUCGAUAGGCGAGGGGGCCUGGAAGGGUCCCUCGCCGAAAGGGACCUCAGGGGGUUAUCGCCUGGGGUCCGCCCGAGGAUGGGGCCACGGCCCAUCAUGGUAGUUGGCGGGGUAAUGGCCCGCCAAGCCGACGACGGGUAGGGGCCGUGGGAGCGGGAGCCCCCAGAUGGGCCCUGAGACAAGGGCCCAGGCCCUACGGGGCGCACCAGGCGCGAAACCUCCGCAAUGCGGGAAACCGUGACGGGGUCACCCCGAGUGCCCCCGUAAGGGGGCUUUUCCCCGCUGCAAGGAGGCGGGGGAAUAAGCGGGGGGCAAGUCUGGUGUCAGCCGCCGCGGUAAUACCAGCCCCGCGAGUGGUCGGGACUCUUGCUGGGCCUAAAGCGCCCGUAGCCGGCCCGGUAAGUCCCUCCUUAAAGCCCCGGGCUCAACCCGGGGAGCGGGGGGAUACUGCCGGGCUAGGGGGCGGGAGAGGCCGGGGGUACCCCAGGGGUAGGGGCGAAAUCCGAUAAUCCCUGGGGGACCACCAGUGGCGAAGGCGCCCGGCUGGAACGCGCCCGACGGUGAGGGGCGAAAGCCGGGGGAGCGAACCGGAUUAGAUACCCGGGUAGUCCCGGCUGUAAACUAUGCGGGCCAGGUGUCGGGUGGGCGUUAGAGCCCGCCCGGUGCCGCAGGGAAGCCGUUAAGCCCGCCGCCUGGGGAGUACGGCCGCAAGGCUGAAACUUAAAGGAAUUGGCGGGGGGGCACCACAAGGGGUGAAGCUUGCGGCUUAAUUGGGAGUCAACGCCGGAAACCUCACCCGGGGCGACAGCA
rnacentral:rRNA from 1 species